rnacentral:lncRNA from 1 species
UUGGACGAACUAUCGACAAUAUCCUGCUAAUCCGAGAAAACUCUGAACCUCAGUCACGGUUGGCAAUUGUUCCAAAUUCUCAAUCGUUGCUACUCUUUUAAGAAUCCACUUGAAUACCUUAAGUAGAUAUAAUUAAUUUAUCCAACAUUAGCAUUUGCUAAACUUAGCAUACAUCAACGUUCCUUCAAUCUUUGCAACACCAACUUUAAAUAUCUAGCAUGCACUGCUCUAAUCUUAUCAAUCUCGUCAAUGGCAACAACAACAAACCGAUCUAGAUAUCACUGGAAUACUUCCUUCAGUAAGCUCAUAAAAGUAGCAGGUGCAUUCGUCACUCCGUAUGGCAUCCCAACUUGAAAUGACCAUAACGAGUCCUGGAUUCAGUCUUAUGGACAUCCCCACUGUUAAUCUUCAACUAAUAUCAUUCAGACCUCAAGUCAGUCUCAGAAAGUACCCAGGCGCCUCAGAGCUGAUCAAAUAAUAAUUAAUACACAAAACAAUGGAUAACAGCUCUCAAUCGUUACCCGAUUCAAUUACCUAAUAUCAAUGCCUAGCCUUAAUGUCCACUUUCUUCCUCACAAAUAAACCGGAGCUUUUCCAAUGUGAUAUAAUAAGUUGAAUGGAACUUUUAACUAAACCUGAACCAAUUUCUAACAUAGGAUUUGUACCUAAAAACAAUUCAAUAAUGGAACCCACAUCUCUGCCUGGCGGCAAUCUAGGUAAGUCAUCUGGGAAUACACCAAGAAAAUGUCUAACCAUCUUUACAUCUUCCAUACUAUUAGGAUCAACAUCAUUUAGCACCAUAUGAACUCAAUAUCUUGGCAGCCUUUUGAUAACAAUCUUCUUUGCUCUCUCAACAGGAAUAAUGGCAUAACUCACUCCACUUUACUUACCCCCAAAAGUAACCUCUGGUCAUCUAGGUCAACAAAAAUUAACUGAUUCCCCAUAGCAAUCNUCUCUCUCAUUCGAUUCUUUGACUUUCAAGUAGUUUCUUCCACUGAAAGAUUCCUCCAUAAAUUUUCACCAAACUCAGAGUCUUGAAUAUCAUCCGUCCCCAAUUCUAACAAUUUCGAAACACAAGACAUAGCUUUCCACGGCCUUAUGGCGUUACUCUAGGGAACAAACUGAAGGAACCAACAUACCCAAGAAGUUUAACAGAUCCCAAUCUCCUUUUUCCAUAAAACAAAUAAAUAACUGUUGCGCUUAUCUGGAAAGGUUGAUGUUCUCAUACUGAAGUAACAUGCGCUGACGUCACAAGUCAAUCAAUUAUUAUUCAAACUCCAACCUAACUAUUUGGUAUACGAGGAAGCUUGUCCAUGAAAUCCAUAGUAAUAUUCUCCCAUUUCCGCCGUGGAAUGGGAAAUGACUACAUUAUUCCAAAAGACUUAUUUCUUUCUGCUUUAACCUGAUGACUGAUGAUACGCCUACUAACAUACUUCGCCAUUCCUCUUUUCAUACCCGUCAAUAGUACAUGAACGAAUGGUAUGAUAAAUCUUAGUACUUUUGGGAUGCAUUGUAGAAGUGGAAGUACAUCGUCAAAAUUGCUUUAUUUAAUUCCACACCAUUAGGCAUAAACACUUUGUUCCCUUGCAUAAGCUUGCCAUCUGAUUCUCUAACUCUAAGGUCCUUCUUUAUCCCGUUAUUCCUUGCUUUAAAUAAAUUCUUGAAUUUCUUCGUCAAACGCUUGAGUAUCGAGUACGAUCUACCAAAUGGGUCCAACUUAGAAAUUAGCAAGUAAGGCUUCUUCUCGAUUUUUGAUACUCAACUUUACUCCAGUAGAUUUCAAAUCCACAAGAAGAUGAACAUAGCAAGCAUACCAAGCAUUAAUUCUCACUGGGGUCUUCCUACUAAAUGCAUCAGCCACAACAUUAGCUUGACCACCCUCGUCACACAAUCAUAAUCACUAAGCAACUCAUUCCACCUUUGUUGCCUAAGAUUAAGAUACCUCUGAAUAAACAGAUAUUGGGUACUCUUUUGAUUUGUAACAAUCAUGCACUUUUCUUCCCAUAAAGACAAUGUCUCCAAAUUCUCAAAGCAAAGAUGAUAGCUGCUAAUUCCAAAUUAUAAUUAGGGUAAUUCAUCUUAUGAGAUCCCAAUGGCCAUGAAGCAUAGGCAAUCAUCCUACCAUGUUGCAUCAACGCGCAUUCAAGAACAUUCAAAGAAGUAUUACUAUAGACCACGUAAUUACCACUAUCGUUUGGGAGUGCGAAAACAGAUGCAUGAGUGAGGGAAUACUUUACUUGCUGAAGCUCUACUCACAAUUUUUCAUCCCACUCAAACUUAACCUCUUUUCUCAUCAAUCUCGCCAAGGGCGAAGCAAUAAUUAAAAUCUUGGACGAACUAUCGACAAUAUCCUGCUAAUCCGAGAAAACUCUGAACCUCAGUCACGGUUCGCAAUUGUUCCAAAUUCUCAAUCGUUGCUACUCUUUUAAGAAUCCACUUGAAUACCUUAAGUAGAUAUAAUUAAUUUAUCCAACAUUAGCAUUUGCUAAACUUAGCAUACAUCAACGUUCCUUCAAUCUUUGCAACACCAACUUUAAAUAUCUAGCAUGCACUGCUCUAAUCUUAUCAAUCUCGUCAAUGGCAACAACAACAAACCGAUCUAGAUAUCACUGGAAUACUUCCUUCAGUAAGCUCAUAAAAGUAGCAGGUGCAUUCGUCACUCCGUAUGGCAUCCCAACUUGAAAUGACCAUAACGAGUCCUGGAUUCAGUCUUAUGGACAUCCCCACUGUUAAUCUUCAACUAAUAUCAUUCAGACCUCAAGUCAAUCUCAGAAAGUACCCAGGCGCCUCAGAGCUGAUCAAAUAAUCAUUAAUACACAACAAUGGAUAACAGCUCUCAAUCGUUACCCGAUUCAAUUACCUAAUAUCAAUGCCUAGCCUUAAUGUCCACUUUCUUCCUCACAAAUAAACCGGAGCUUUUCCAAUGUGAUAUAAUAAGUUGAAUGGAACUUUUAACUCAACCUGAACCAAUUUCUAACAUAGGAUUUGUACCUAAAAACAAUUCAAUAAUGGAACCCACAUCUCUGCCUGGCGGCAAUCUAGGUAAGUCAUCUGGAAAUACACCAAGAAAAUGUCUAACCAUCUUUACAUCUUCCAUACUAUUAGGAUCAACAUCAUUUAGCACCAUAUGAACUCAAUAUCUUGGCAGCCUUUUGAUAACAAUCUUCUUUGCUCUCUCAACAGGAAUAAUGGCAUAACUCACUCCACUUUACUUACCCCCAAAAGUAACCUCUGGUCAUCCAGGUCAACAAAAAUUAACUGAUUCCCCAUAGCAAUCUAGCUUGACACAAUUAUACUGCACCCACUGGUGCCAAAAAAAUCACCUCAAAAUCCAUAAUAUCCAACGGAAUAAAAUUCACUGACAUGACAUUUUUCACCAUCACUGGACACCCUUAAUAAACCAAAUCAACAUAAAGUGCCUUACUUGUUUACUUACUUAACGAA